GAUGAACGCUGGCGGCGUGCCUAAUACAUGCAAGUCGAGCGAACAGACGAGGAGCUUGCUCCUCUGAUGUUAGCGGCGGACGGGUGAGUAACACGUGGAUAACCUACCUAUAAGACUGGGAUAACUUCGGGAAACCGGAGCUAAUACCGGAUAACAUGUUGAACCGCAUGGUUCAACAGUGAAAGACGGUUUUGCUGUCACUUAUAGAUGGAUCCGCGCCGCAUUAGCUAGUUGGUAAGGUAACGGCUUACCAAGGCAACGAUGCGUAGCCGACCUGAGAGGGGGACGGCCACCCCGGGAACGGGCCCCCGGCCAGGCCCCCGCGGGGGGGCGGAAGUGGGGAUUUUCCCACAAGGGGCGAAGGCCGGAGGGGCCACCGCCGGGUGGUGAAAAAGGUUUUUGGGAUCUUAAACCUCUUUUAUUGGGAAAAAAAAAAUGUGAAAGAAACUAUCCCCGUCUGGACGUUCCCUAAUCAGAAGCCCACGCCUACCUACGUC
rnacentral:rRNA from 1 species